AUUGAACGCUGGCGGCAGGCCUAACACAUGCAAGUCGAGCGGAUGACGGGAGCUUGCUCCUUGAUUCAGCGGCGGACGGGUGAGUAAUGCCUAGGAAUCUGCCUGGCAGUGGGGGACAACGUUCCGAAAGGAACGCUAAUACCGCAUACGUCCUACGGGAGAAAGCAGGGGACCUUCGGGCCUUUCGCUAUCAGAUGAGCCUAGGUCGGAAUAGCUAGUUGGUGGGGUAAUGGCUCACCAAGGCGACGAUCCGUAACUGGUCUGAGAGGAUGAUCAGUCACACUGGAACUGAGACACGGUCCAGACUCCUACGGGAGGCAGCAGUGGGGAAUAUUGGACAAUGGGCGAAAGCCUGAUCCAGCCAUGCCGCGUGUGUGAAGAAGGUCUUCGGAUUGUAAAGCACUUUAAGUUGGGAGGAAGGGCAGUAAGUUAAUACCUUGCUGUUUUGACGUUACCGACAGAAUAAGCACCGGCUAACUCUGUGCCAGCAGCCGCCGUAACAC
rnacentral:rRNA from 1 species